GAUGAACGCUGGCGGCGUGCCUAAUACAUGCAAGUCGAGCGAACGGACGAGAAGCUUGCUUCUCUGAUGUUAGCGGCGGACGGGUGAGUAACACGUGGAUAACCUACCUAUAAGACUGGGAUAACUUCGGGAAACCGGAGCUAAUACCGGAUAAUAUUUUGAACCGCAUGGUUCAAAAGUGAAAGACGGUCUUGCUGUCACUUAUAGAUGGAUCCGCGCUGCAUUAGCUAGUUGGUAAGGUAACGGCUUACCAAGGCAACGAUGCAUAGCCGACCUGAGAGGGUGAUCGGCCACACUGGAACUGAGACACGGUCCAGACUCCUACGGGAGGCAGCAGUAGGGAAUCUUCCGCAAUGGGCGAAAGCCUGACGGAGCAACGCCGCGUGAGUGAUGAAGGUCUUCGGAUCGUAAAACUCUGUUAUCAGGGAAGAACAUAUGUGUAAGUAACUGUGCACAUCUUGACGGUACCUAAUCAGAAAGCCACGGCUAACUACGUGCCAGCAGCCGCGGUAAUACGUAGGUGGCAAGCGUUAUCCGGAAUUAUUGGGCGUAAAGCGCGCGUAGGCGGUUUUUUAAGUCUGAUGUGAAAGCCCACGGCUCAACCGUGGAGGGUCAUUGGAAACUGGAAAACUUGAGUGCAGAAGAGGAAAGUGGAAUUCCAUGUGUAGCGGUGAAAUGCGCAGAGAUAUGGAGGAACACCAGUGGCGAAGGCGACUUUCUGGUCUGUAACUGACGCUGAUGUGCGAAAGCGUGGGGAUCAAACAGGAUUAGAUACCCUGGUAGUCCACGCCGUAAACGAUGAGUGCUAAGUGUUAGGGGGUUUCCGCCCCUUAGUGCUGCAGCUAACGCAUUAAGCACUCCGCCUGGGGAGUACGACCGCAAGGUUGAAACUCAAAGGAAUUGACGGGGACCCGCACAAGCGGUGGAGCAUGUGGUUUAAUUCGAAGCAACGCGAAGAACCUUACCAAAUCUUGACAUCCUUUGACAACUCUAGAGAUAGAGCUUUCCCCUUCGGGGGACAAAGUGACAGGUGGUGCAUGGUUGUCGUCAGCUCGUGUCGUGAGAUGUUGGGUUAAGUCCCGCAACGAGCGCAACCCUUAAGCUUAGUUGCCAUCAUUAAGUUGGGCACUCUAAGUUGACUGCCGGUGACAAACCGGAGGAAGGUGGGGAUGACGUCAAAUCAUCAUGCCCCUUAUGAUUUGGGCUACACACGUGCUACAAUGGACAAUACAAAGGGCAGCGAAACCGCGAGGUCAAGCAAAUCCCAUAAAGUUGUUCUCAGUUCGGAUUGUAGUCUGCAACUCGACUACAUGAAGCUGGAAUCGCUAGUAACCGUAGAUCAGCAUGCUACGGUGAAUACGUUCCCGGGUCU
rnacentral:rRNA from 1 species